CUCUUAGGGAGCUGAGUCACGGACGUCUGGUGUCGGAGUAUUGUCGCUGUCACAAGUGGUAACUAGUCAGCACAGGCUGCAUCUGUUGAUUUUACGCUGUGGAGCUGUAUGUUUUAAAGGAUCCACGUUUCGCCUACUUUUCUUUGUCUUAGCCUGUUCCAUCGCCUGCCCGCCUACCUAGGAUUUUGUGUUGACUAUUGUGGAUCCGCGACGGAGUGCUACGUACCAUCAGGCGGCGUUCACCGCAGCGGCUGUGGUUUGGGUGGUCAAGUAGCUCCGGUGCGUCUGCUGCCUACCUGCAUGCUUCGGCUCCGUCUCAUCGCCUCGGUGUUUACCUCCUGGCACAUUUUUAUUUAUCACUGUAUAUAGCCCCUUCCCUUGUAAAUAUUCCCCCUUACUCGUGUAUAUAAAAACUUGCAUCACUAA
ensembl:lncRNA